GGACUACUAGGGUAUCUAAUCCCGUUCGCUCCCCUGGCUUUCGCACCUGAGCGUCAGUAACUUCCCAGGACACUGCCUACGCCUUUGGUGUUCCUCCGGAUCUCUACGCAUUUCACCACUCCACCCGGAAUUCCGUGUCCCUCUGAAGCCCUCAAGUCUGCCAGUUUUCCAGGCACUUCCUCAGUUAGGCCGAGGACUGUCACCCAGAACUUCGCAGACCGCCUGCGUGCGCUUUACGCCCAGUAACUCCGGACAACGCUCGCCUCCUACGUAUUACCGCGGCUGCUGGCAC
rnacentral:rRNA from 1 species